AAGAUUAUGGCAGAAAGGUAAUGCGACUGCCUUGAAACCAGUUUACGGGGGUUCGACUCCCUCUUUUCUUG